rnacentral:misc_RNA from 1 species
GGUACAUCAGAAUCCACAAAUUGAGAAGUAGAGUUUAUAUUAAAUGGCAAUUUUUGGCAUCAAAAUGACUGCUGAAUAUUUUACCUAAAAUAAUGAUAGAAUAAUAACUUUCUUCAUGUUAAAAUGAAAUGAAGAAGAAAAGCGAAUUAGGAUUUCUACAUUACUGUGUGAUGCAAGACCUUCAAUUCAACUACUGAUUUUAGAAGGAAAUUUAGGAAGUAAAAUUUACCUGGAAGUUGGUUUAGCAUUCCUAAUUUGUUUUGGUUUAUUAUUUUAUUGUUUCAGGAUUCCUAAUACUAGUGCUAGCAGGAUUAACAAUUAUACUAUAAAUACCUAUGUCCUCUA